GAGGAGAAUAAGUUAAUCUUCUGGGGUACAGAAUUCUGUUAGGGGACGAGGAUUAUAUCCAGCCGAAAGAUAAAGGGAAGGAGAUACCUGGAAGCUGCCAUGGAUCGAACUUGUAGAGGUCCACCACCGGAAUCACUUCGAGCUCGAUCUUCUCUCCUUCCACUUUCUUCUUCAGGUAAUAUCCCACCAGCUCUUCGUCGGUGGGGUGAAAACGGAAGCCGGGAGGGAGAGUCAAGGUGCCCAUUCUUCCCAGGGUGAUCAGAAAUAAAAGAAAGAAAUCAGGAGGAGAUGAAGUUAUUUAUCCUACGAGGAAUUAACAGCAUGGGAACGGGCGAUCUAAGUGUCCACACUGUGUCUAUUGACAACAUGGAAGAUCCAAAAAUAGAAGCUCGUCUCGCCGCAGAUGAAUCCCUGAACGGACGAGCAGAUCGCGCAGAGGAUAUAGCCGUCAGACGUCAGGAUCAUUCUUCCGGGACUCGAAGGGUUUGACAGCCACAGGAUUGUAUCCCCUCCUCCCUCCUUUUGAUCCAAUACCAGAAGAGACCAGUGGAUGUUUGAUUGGUUCCCCUGGGGAUAUGGGAAGCAACCGAUCAGAAGAACCGCAGAAGGCGGAGUGAUCGUAUGUGCUGACAAACUAAUCAGAAUAGCCCUAAAAACCCCUGUAACACGUCGGUGUUUUUGGGAUCUUGCUGGUGCCCAGAGCACUAAAUUGAACUCUCUCGUGAAGAAACAAAAAAUCCUCCGUGGAUGUCACCCAGAAAGCUGAUGGAAUGGGAGGAAGAGGAGGAGAGACCAAAGAAGCGCCCGGUACAGGGGGGUGCACCCUCACCCUUUAUAGGGAGCCAAGGGUGGGAAAGGGGGACCUCUACGUUAUCUCUACGGUAGG
rnacentral:lncRNA from 1 species